CUAAUGGGUCAGCAAGUUAAUAUUAGAUGCGAGAUGGCUGAGUAUAAGUAGUGUAAUUGAUUUUACUAUGGUAGAGACUAAGGGUAAAACUGGUGUUGAAACUGUAGUGAAUGAUAAAUAAAGGAACAGAAAGGCUAACCUAGAUAAACCGAUUAUUAAAUAAUGAAUGAGUAUCUAAAAUUAGACCCGAAGCCUGGUGAUCUUACCAUGAUCAGGAUUAUAAAAGUCCGAACGGGUUAUCGUUGUAAAGAUAUCCGAUGAAUUGUGGUAAGUUAGUGAAAGACAAUACUGACCAGGAUAGCUGGUU
rnacentral:rRNA from 1 species